CCUACGGGAGGCAGCAGUGGGGAAUAUUGGACAAUGGGCGAAAGCCUGAUCCAGCAAUGUCGCGUGAGUGAAGAAGGCCUUCGGGUUGUAAAGCUCUUUUACCCGGGAAGAUAAUGACCGUACCGGGAGAAUAAGCCCCGGCUAACUCCGUGCCAGCAGCCGCGGUAAUACGGAGGGGGCUAGCGUUGUUCGGAAUCACUGGGCGUAAAGCGUGCGUAGGCGGCCAUUCAAGUCAGAGGUGAAAGCCCAGGGCUCAACCCUGGAACUGCCUUUGAAACUAGGUGGCUGGAACACGGGAGAGGUGAGUGGAAUUCCGAGUGUAGAGGUGAAAUUCGUAGAUAUUCGGAAGAACACCAGUGGCGAAGGCGGCUCACUGGACCGUUGUUGACGCUGAGGCACGAAAGCGUGGGGAGCAAACAGGAUUAGAUACCCUGGUAGUCCACGCCGUAAACGAUGAUAACUAGCUGUUGGGGCUCUUUGAGCUCCAGUGGCGCAGCUAACGCAUUAAGUUAUCCGCCUGGGGAGUACGGCCGCAAGGUUAAAACUUAAAUGAAUUGACGG
rnacentral:rRNA from 1 species